rnacentral:rRNA from 1 species
CCCUUAGAUGUUCUGGGCCGCACACGCGCUACACUGGCAGGUUCAUCGAGCUUCAUGCCCUGAUCUGAGAAGAACGGGAAAUCUUUGAACACCUGCCGUGCUUGGGAUAGAUGUUUGCAAUUAUUCAUCUUCAACGAGGAUUGCCUUGUAAGCGCACGUCAUCAGCGUGCAUUGAAUACGACCCUGUAUUCUGUACACACCGCCCGUCGCUCCCACCGAUUGAAGUUUUCGGUGAAUUUACUGGAGAUCCCUUUUGAAGGUGGUUCGCCACUGGAAGAAGUAUUCAAAAGUAAAUGAAUCGAAUGCUUUAGAGGAAGGAGAAGUCGUAACA